UACGGGGGGGGCAAGCGUUGUUCGGAAUUGCUGGGCGUAAAGGGCUCGUAGGUGGCCAACUAAGUCAGACGUGAAAUCCCUCGGCUUAACCGGGGAACUGCGUCUGAUACUGGAUGGCUUGAGUUUGGGAGAGGGAUGCGGAAUUCCAGGUGUAGCGGUGAAAUGCGUAGAUAUCUGGAGGAACACCGGUGGCGAAGGCGGCAUCCUGGACCAAUACUGACGCUGAGGAGCGAAAGCCAGGGGAGCAAACGGG
rnacentral:rRNA from 1 species